rnacentral:tmRNA from 2 species
CAGCUUGAAGCCAAUGUCUUGGUCACCUAUAUUCGGGUUGCCGCUUCAACGGCUACGACAGUAGACGGUUGAACAUGAUAGGCGUUCGGACAUGGGUGCGAUUCCCAUCGCCUCCACCUAAGCCCUGCGGGCACUCAGGGUUUUGGCGGGGGCGAAUUAGGUUCGACGGGCGCUGAAGAGUUCAGCUUGCUGUUCGGCAUGGUUCCGCCGUUAUCGGGCCAUUGCAUAGUUGCCAACGACAACAAUGCUCGGGUUGCUGUCGCCGCGUAAGCGGUGCUGGUUCCCAAAUCAAAGUCCUUGCGCUUAGCCGUGUAAGGCGGGGUUCGGAGGUACCUGGCAACAGAAACCUCCACU